GAAAUUAAUAUCUACAAUUAAUUAAUUUAGUGGCAAUACCGGCUGCCAGUCCACCAGGGAAUAGUCUACCCACCAUACCCGCUGUACAGAGUUCAUUACACGCCCUGAGACCACAGGGGCCCACGAUCACACCUUCAUUGGCCAAUCAUUACAGGGAUGACCUUACGAAUCAUGUGAAGGGCUGGCCCGCCGAUAUUCUGGAAAAACAAGCGCAAAAGUUAUCAGAGGAAGCACACAUUAUGGGCAGUAUACAAUGUUCAAAGGUAUCGGCGGAACUUAAAUCCGCACGAUCUUUAGUUCGACUUACCGAAAUACAAGCUACAUUACAGGAGCAAAGGAUUCUUUUUCUUCGUCAGCAAAUAAAAACGUUGGAGGAAUUAAAGUCCCAGAAUUCAUUUAUGUCCGAUGAUUCUUAGUGCAAAAGUAUUCACAAAACUCUAGUGUUAAUGGCUAAUCGUUAUUUUGUUUUUCAUUCUUUUUUUUAUUUAAGUGAAAGGAAUGGUAUGCGUACAUUGGUUUUUUGACGUUGUUUAACAAACACGGUGUACAUUUACGGAUUUUCGCAAACUAAAAUUCAACCCAAAUGAGUUUUCAGACCUGUCGCAAACGACAGGACUUUAGGGCCUAUUUGGCACUUUAAAAAAUUAUUUAGAUAUCUAAAGACUAUCUCGAUAGGUAGAAUUUAUUAAAAAGAAGAUAUGUGAAUUUGUAUUUGUAUUAUAACGGUUUUAUGUUUUAGAUGUAGCGAGAAACGAGAUAAUUCUUCUAGGCAUAGUUUAUUUCCCAUUCUCUCCUCACCUAGAUGUACAUUUUCAUUUGCUUACUGUGAGCAGUUAUGUAAUAAUUCGUUUCUUCUAUCAUUUGUACAUAUAUAUUAUACUUGUUUUUUUUUUUAGAAUAAAUAUGUAUUUAUGUAAGCGGUUCACAAUAAAUUUUUAACCAUUUAAGAAUAUAGUCUGACUUUUCUUUAAAGUACAAAUUAUUCUCUAAAGGCGAUUUAAAAAUUAAGCGGUAAUUUGGUUAUUGGAAACUUUUUAUUGUAUCAUUUAAAAUAUUAAAAAGUGAUUUGCUUUUUUUGUAUCUUAGAUGUAAUAAUUUUGAUUGAAAAUGUAUUUAUUUAAUUAAUAUUUAUACAAGUAUAAGUAUUUAUUAUUUCUGUCCUUUUUGUUUUGUAAAUGUAGUACUGCAUUAAAAAUCUUUCACAAUAAAAUAUUUCAGUCGAACUUGAGGCAGUAUGAAAAUGUACAUUGGGUUACAACGUUGAAUUAUUAACAGGACAAUAGCCUUUUCUAUUAGCUAAUUCUAAAAGUUUAUUAUUUAAUUGUGAAAAACUUUAAUAACUAUUAACAUUUUGUUCGUCUGAAACAAAUUUGUGAAAAUCCAUCAAUUUUUACGCGAUUUAAUUUUCGUGUAUAGUCCGUAAAAAUUAUUUAUAAAUUUGUAGUUGUUUAUAUAUUGAAUUAACUGGUGAAAAAAUAAACGUUUUGUUAUAAUUA